rnacentral:rRNA from 1 species
UACGUAGGGGGCUAGCGUUGUCCGGAUUUAUUGGGCGUAAAGAGCGCGUAGGCGGCUAGGUAAGUCCGCCGUCAAAUCCCAGGGCUCAACUCUGGACAGGCGGUGGAAACUGCCAAGCUGGAGUACGGUAGGGGCAGAGGGAAUUUCCGGUGGAGCGGUGAAAUGCGUAGAGAUCGGAAAGAACACCAACGGCGAAAGCAACUCUGCUGGGCCGACACUGACACUGAGAGACGAAAGCUAGGGGAGCGAAUGGG